UACGUAGGGUGCAAGCGUUGUCCGGAAUUAUUGGGCGUAAAGAGCUCGUAGGCGGUCUGUCGCGUCGGCUGUGAAAACUCGGGGCUCAACCCCGAGCCUGCAGUCGAUACGGGCAGACUAGAGUGCAGUAGGGGAGACUGGAAUUCCUGGUGUAGCGGUGAAAUGCGCAGAUAUCAGGAGGAACACCGGUGGCGAAGGCGGUUCUCUGGGCAUUACCUGACGCUGAGGAGCGAAAGUGUGGGGAGCGAACAGG
rnacentral:rRNA from 1 species